rnacentral:rRNA from 1 species
CCUACGGGGGGCAGCAGUCGAGAAUCAUUCACAAUGGGGGAAACCCUGAUGGUGCGACGCCGCGUGGGGGAAUGAAGGUCUUCGGAUUGUAAACCCCUGUCAUGUGGGAGCAAAUUAAAAAGAUAGUACCACAAGAGGAAGAGACGGCUAACUCUGUGCCAGCAGCCGCGGUAAUACAGAGGUCUCAAGCGUUGUUCGGAAUCACUGGGCGUAAAGCGUGCGUAGGCUGUUUCGUAAGUCGUGUGUGAAAGGCGCGGGCUCAACCCGCGGACGGCACAUGAUACUGCGAGACUAGAGUGAUGGAGGGGGAACCGGAAUUCUCGGUGUAGCAGUGAAAUGCGUAGAUAUCGAGAGGAACACUCGUGGCGAAGGCGGGUUCCUGGACAGUAACUGACGCUGAGGCACGAAGGCCAGGGGAGCGAAAGGGAUUAGAUACCCCAGUAGUC